rnacentral:tRNA from 1 species
GCCGGGGUCGCCUAAUUGGUAUGGCACCAGCCUGCUAAGCUGGUGGGGUUUAAUCCCCUUGCGGGUUCGAGUCCCGUCCCCGGCG